UACGAAGGGGGCUAGCGUUGCUCGGAAUCACUGGGCGUAAAGCGCACGUAGGCGGAUUUGCCAGUCAGGGGUGAAAUCCCGGGGCUCAACCUCGGAACUGCCUUUGAUACAGCAAGUCUUGAGUUCGAGAGAGGUGGGUGGAAUUCCUAGUGUAGAGGUGAAAUUCGUAGAUAUUAGGAAGAACACCGGUGGCGAAGGCGGCCCACUGGCUCGACACUGACGCUGAGGUGCGAAAGCGUGGGGAGCAAACAGG
rnacentral:rRNA from 1 species